AGUGAACGCUGGCGGUAGGCCUAACACAUGCAAGUCGAACGGCAGCACAGUAAGAGCUUGCUCUUACGGGUGGCGAGUGGCGGACGGGUGAGGAAUACAUCGGAAUCUACUUUUUCGUGGGGGAUAACGUAGGGAAACUUACGCUAAUACCGCAUACGACCUACGGGUGAAAGCAUGGGAUCUUCGGACCUUGCGCGAUUGAAUGAGCCGAUGUCGGAUUAGCUAGUUGGCGGGGUAAAGGCCCACCAAGGCGACGAUCCGUAGCUGGUCUGAGAGGAUGAUCAGCCACACUGGAACGGAGACACGGUCCAGACUCCUACGGGAGGCAGCAGUGGGGAAUAUUGGACAAUGGGCGCAAGCCUGAUCCAGGCAUACCGCGUGGGUGAAGAAGGCCUUCGGGUUGUAAAGCCCUUUUGUUGGGAAAGAAAAGCAGCAGGUUAAUACCCCGCUGUUCUGACGGUACCCAAAGAAUAAGCACCGGCUAACUUCGUG
rnacentral:rRNA from 1 species